UUCCAGACUCCUACGGGAGGCAGCAGUGGGGGAUAUUGCACAAUGGGGGAAACCCUGAUGCAGCGACGCCGCGUGGGUGAAGAAGCGCCUCGGCGCGUAAAGCCCUGUCAGCAGGGAAGAAAAUGACGGUACCUGAGUAAGAAGCACCGGCUAAAUACGUGCCAGCAGCCGCGGUAAUACGUAUGGUGCAAGCGUUAUCCGGAUUUACUGGGUGUAAAGGGAGCGCAGGCGGCACGGCAAGUCUGGUGUGAAAGCCCGGGGCCCAACCCCGGGACUGCAUUGGAAACUGCCGGGCUGGAGUGCCGGAGGGGUAAGCGGAAUUCCUGGUGUAGCGGUGAAAUGCGCAGAUAUCAGGAAGAACACCGGUGGCGUAGGCGGCUUACUGGACGGCAACUGACGCUGAGGCUCGAAAGCGUGGGGAGCAAACAGGAUUAGAUACCCCCGUAA
rnacentral:rRNA from 1 species